CCCGCCCCAUCUUUCAAAACUCAAGGCGGGUUCGGGGGGAGCUGGUGGUGCGGUGGAUGUGGGGUGGAUGGGGCUAUUUACUGGAGUCCAGUUCCUGUACAUUCGCUCCAUCUUCAACUCUUCUGAUGCUGCAUAUGUCCUCAAGCAACAAAUCCACCAGCCUAAAGGUCGAGUUCAGGUACCACGUGGCUAGCCCCUCAUAGUGCUCCUCAAGAGACAGUCUCACUCCCCAGGGUUACAUCACUGAAGGACCACUCAGCGUUCUCAGCACUGCUGGUUUACUUCCAUUCGUUUUCCCAAAGUAGGAGUUUGCCCCUUGGAUGGCAGAGAACAGGUAACAUGCAGGGCUGCCAGCUCAUAGCCCUGUGCAGAGGUCCAUGUGGCAAGCCAUGGAGGCCUCCUGUCAACAGCUGGCAAGAAAAUGGGACACCUUGCCCACAAUCAUGUGAGUGAGCCCUCUUGGAACUGGGAUUUCCAACCCCAGCAAUCCUUUUAUGAUGCAGCCCUAACUGUAGAGACUCAGCCUGAAUUGUCAGCUAAGUUUUUCUUACAUACCUGACACUCAAGAAACUGUGAGAUGUUAAAUGUUUGAUGCUUUAAGCUGCUAAGUUUUAGGGUAAUCUGUUAUGCAGCAGUGGAUCACUAAUACAAAUCCUAAAACUGAACAGGAGAUCUGUACAGGAGUAAACACACAAAUUAGAGUUACAUUCUGGACUAGACAUUGGUAAAGUUAGCUUAACCUUUGCUCCGGUUCAGCUGGAGAAUUGUCUAAAUUCAGCAAAGGUGGUCUUCCAAUUGUGAUACCCUGUAGUAAAGUAUUUGUGCCUCAUUCAUCUCUCUCCU
ensembl:lncRNA